CCUAGUAGAAGGGGAUAGCCCGGGGAAACCCGGAUUAAUACCGUAUACCUCCUUCGGGAGAAAGAAGGCCUCUCUUUGAAGCUUUCGCUACUAGAUGAGCCUGCGUAAGAUUAGCUUGUUGGUGAGGUAAAGGCUCACCAAGGCGACGAUCUUUAGCUGGUCUGAGAGGACGAUCAGCCACAUUGGGACUGAGACACGGCCCAGACUCCUACGGGAGGCAGCAGUGGGGAAUAUUGGACAAUGGGCGCAAGCCUGAUCCAGCCAUACCGCGUGUGUGAAGAAGGCCUUCGGGUUGUAAAGCACUUUAAGC
rnacentral:rRNA from 1 species